CCUGCUAACAUGACAGUGUGCCUGCUAACAUGACAGUGUACCUGCUAACAUGACUGUGUACCUGCUAACAUGACUGUGUACCUGCUAACAUGACAGUGUGCCUGCUAACAUGACUGUGUACCUGCUAACAUGACAGUGUUUCUGCUAACAUGACAGUGUGCCUGCUAACAUGACAGUGUGCCUGCUAACAUGACAGUGUGCCUGCUAACAUGACAGUGUGCCUGCUAACAUGACAGUGUGCCUGCUAACAUGACUGUGUACCUGCUAACAUGACUGUGUGCCUGCGUGUGUUUGUUUGUUGUCUAUAACAGUUUUUACUGGACCACCAACUUACUGUUCCAUGUGUUGUUUUCCAGGUGAUACCAAGCACUAACAUCAGGCAGAAGCUACAUCGAUGGAAUUGGGAAGAUGGACAUUCAACAGGGAUGGAGAGAAGCUACUGGAUGUUCCCUGGACUGGAUCCUGUAUCAGCAGCAGCAGUGGAGGUUCCAUUUUGGAUCUGGCUAUCAUCAAUAUCAUUUAUUAAUAUCAGAAUACAGCCCUUUAGACUAAUGUGAGGAGGGUUGUCCAGUGUUCCUCAGCUCCUUCUGGACAGGUACAUAAUGGGACACUUCACGUUUCCUCAGCCCCUUCUGGACAGGUACAUAAUGGGACACUUCACGUUUCCUCAGCCCCUUCUGGACAGGUACAUAAUGGGACACUUCACGUUUCCUCAGCCCCUUCUGGACAGGUACAUAAUGGGACACAUCACGUUUCCUCAGCCCCUUCUGGACAGGUACAUAAUGGGACACGUCACAUUUCCUCAGCCCCUUCUGGAUAGGUAUAUAAUGGGACAGUCCACUUUACAUCAAAUCCCCCAUGGAAAGGUACAGUCCACUUUAACCACCAACACCCCUUGUCCCCAUAACGUACAUGGGACAGUCUCACAUUUCUUCUGGAAUAAGACAUGACAGUCAUCCACUCCAGUUCACCCAAUGGGAUUACAACAGAAUGACUUGUAUUCUACUGCACAUGUCUAUAGGACUGCCUUUCUGUUUAAAACACCUAUGUGAUGCACACUGAGAUGCUGAUGGACUUAUUGAACAUGAUACAUGUACUUCUAUGUUCUAAUUCACUAUAUUAUGCUUUUAUUGACACUUGAAGAAUGCUGAACAGGUCCGUUGAAGGGCACUUCAAUAUGCCACUAUUUCAACAACAUAAAAUAAACCUGUAUAUUGAGACAUGUUUACCUUCUCAUCGUAUCAAAUGUGACAAUAUUACAGUACAUUGCAGCACUUGCCACUUGUCAGGUCGCCAUUGUAAACAAUGAUUUGUCUCACCUGGAUAAUUAAAUGUUAGAUUAAACAAAUAAUACAUUGUUCCUCGCCGGUUUUGCAAACCAGUUGACAACUCUAUCCAAACAGCUUCUAUCCAAACAGUAAAUGUUGACAUGAAUGAA